GGGCGGUCCAAAGGUAGAGAGUUGCCUCAGUGAUUGUUCACAGUCAUAGAUUGAACUUGUUCUACAAUUCCCCCUUUCUCACCACUGCACUUGACUAGACUUAA
rnacentral:Y_RNA from 1 species